rnacentral:rRNA from 1 species
UACGUUCCCGGACCUUGCACACACCGCCCGUCAAGCCAUGGGAGCCGGGUGUACCUAAAGUCGGUAACCGCAAGGAGCUGCCUAGGGUAAAAUCAGUGACUGGGGCU